rnacentral:snRNA from 1 species
GAAUGGGAGGGUGAUUUGGCUGUGAAAUAAGCCACCGCUCAUCCUCAGGGCAGACUCUGUUGAUCUGACUGGCUAGGCAGUUUAGUCCAUCCCACCUCACUGACCCAUGCCCAUUUCUUAUGGUUCUGCAUGGUCUGUCCAGAGAUAGGCCAUUGUUAAUGAAAGAGAACCAUUUUUCACUAUGCAGAAGGAUCCUUAUUUGGUAUAGGAGUGGUUGCCACACACUGCAAUGGUAUUCAAACAAUCUCUAUCUGAGAAACAGAAAUAACUCCAGAGCCAGUGUCUGGACUGCAAAU